rnacentral:rRNA from 1 species
GAUGAACGCUGGCGGCGUGCCUAAUACAUGCAAGUCGAGCGAACAGACGAGGAGCUUGCUCCUCUGACGUUAGCGGCGGACGGGUGAGUAACACGUGGAUAACCUACCUAUAAGACUGGGAUAACUUCGGGAAACCGGAGCUAAUACCGGAUAAUAUAUUGAACCGCAUGGUUCAAUAGUGAAAGACGGUUUUGCUGUCACUUAUAGAUGGAUCCGCGCCGCAUUAGCUAGUUGGUAAGGUAACGGCUUACCAAGGCGACGAUGCGUAGCCGACCUGAGAGGGUGGUCGGCCAACCUGGGACUGGAGCACCGUUCCGGCCCCCAACGGAGGCCACCGUAGGGAAUCUUCCGCAAUGGGCGAAAGCUUGACGGAGCAACGCCGCGUGAGUGAUGAAGGUCUUCGGAUCGUAAAACUCUGUUAUUAGGGAAGAACAAAUGUGUAAGUAACUAUGCACGUCUUGACGGUACCUAAUCAGAAAGCCACGGCUAACUACGUG